rnacentral:rRNA from 1 species
ACAGAGGGUGCGAGCGUUAAUCGGAAUUACUGGGCGUAAAGCGCACGUAGUCGGCUUGUCAAGUCGGGUGUGAAAUCCCCGGGCUCAACCUGGGAACUGCAUCCGAAACUGACUUGCUAGAGUAUGGGAGAGGGAGGCGGAAUUUCUGGUGUAGCAGUGAAAUGCGUAGAUAUCAGAAGGAACAUCAGUGGCGAAGGCGGCCUCCUGGACCAAUACUGACGAUCAGGUGCGAAAGCGUGGGGAGCAAACAGGAUUAGAUACCCUGGUAGUCCACGCCCUAAACGAUGACAACUGGAUGUCGGGAGGGUUUGCCUUCCGGUGUCGUAGCUAACGCGUUAAGUUGUCCGCCUGGGAAGUACGGCCGCAAGGUUG